AACGAACGCUGGCGGCAGGCUUAACACAUGCAAGUCGAGCGCCCCGCAAGGGGAGCGGCAGACGGGUGAGUAACGCGUGGGAAUCUACCCAUCUCUACGGAAUAACGCAUGGAAACGUGUGCUAAUACCGUAUACGUCCUUCGGGAGAAAGAUCUAUCGGAGAUGGAUGAGCCGGCGUUGGAUUAGCUAGUUGGUGGGGUAAAGGCCUACCAAGGCGACGAUACAUAGCUGGUCCGAGAGGAUGAUCAGCCACACUGGGACUGAGACAGUGCCCAGAGUCCAACGGGAGGCAGCAGUGGGGAAUAUUGGACAAUGGGCGCAAGCCUGAUCCAGCCAUGCCUGUUGGUUGAUGAAGGCACUAGGGUUGUAAAGCUCUUUCACCGGUAAAGAUAAUGACGGUAACCGGAGAAGAAGCCCCGGCUAACUUCGUGCCAGCAGCCGCCGCAGUAA
rnacentral:rRNA from 1 species